rnacentral:rRNA from 1 species
GGGUUGUGAGGUUAAGCGACUAAGCGUACACGGUGGAUGCCCUGGCAGUCAGAGGCGAUGAAGGACGUGCUAAUCUGCGAUAAGCGUCGGUAAGGUGAUAUGAACCGUUAUAACCGGCGAUUUCCGAAUGGGGAAACCCAGUGUGAUUCGUCACACUAUCAUUAACUGAAUCCAUAGGUUAAUGAGGCGAACCGGGGGAACUGAAACAUCUAAGUACCCCGAGGAAAAGAAAUCAACCGAGAUUCCCCCAGUAGCGGCGAGCGAACGGGGAGCAGCCCAGAGCCUGAAUCAGUGUGUGUGUUAGUGGAAGCGUCUGGAAAGGCGCGCGAUACAGGGUGACAGCCCCGUACACAAAAAUACACAUAUUGUGAGCUCGAUGAGUAGGGCGGGACACGUGGUAUCCUGUCUGAAUAUGGGGGGACCAUCCUCCAAGGCUAAAUACUCCUGACUGACCGAUAGUGAACCAGUACCGUGAGGGAAAGGCGAAAAGAACCCCGGCGAGGGGAGUGAAAAAGAACCUGAAACCGUGUACGUACAAGCAGUGGGAGCACGCUUAGGCGUGUGACUGCGUACCUUUUGUAUAAUGGGUCAGCGACUUAUAUUCUGUAGCAAGGUUAACCGAAUAGGGGAGCCGAAGGGAAACCGAGUCUUAACUGGGCGUUAAGUUGCAGGGUAUAGACCCGAAACCCGGUGAUCUAGCCAUGGGCAGGUUGAAGGUUGGGUAACACUAACUGGAGGACCGAACCGACUAAUGUUGAAAAAUUAGCGGAUGACUUGUGGCUGGGGGUGAAAGGCCAAUCAAACCGGGAGAUAGCUGGUUCUCCCCGAAAGCUAUUUAGGUAGCGCCUCGUGAAUUCAUCUCCGGGGGUAGAGCACUGUUUCGGCAAGGGGGUCAUCCCGACUUACCAACCCGAUGCAAACUGCGAAUACCGGAGAAUGUUAUCACGGGAGACACACGGCGGGUGCUAACGUCCGUCGUGAAGAGGGAAACAACCCAGACCGCCAGCUAAGGUCCCAAAGUCAUGGUUAAGUGGGAAACGAUGUGGGAAGGCCCAGACAGCCAGGAUGUUGGCUUAGAAGCAGCCAUCAUUUAAAGAAAGCGUAAUAGCUCACUGGUCGAGUCGGCCUGCGCGGAAGAUGUAACGGGGCUAAACCAUGCACCGAAGCUGCGGCAGCGACGCUUAUGCGUUGUUGGGUAGGGGAGCGUUCUGUAAGCCUGUGAAGGUGUACUGUGAGGUAUGCUGGAGGUAUCAGAAGUGCGAAUGCUGACAUAAGUAACGAUAAAGCGGGUGAAAAGCCCGCUCGCCGGAAGACCAAGGGUUCCUGUCCAACGUUAAUCGGGGCAGGGUGAGUCGACCCCUAAGGCGAGGCCGAAAGGCGUAGUCGAUGGGAAACAGGUUAAUAUUCCUGUACUUGGUGUUACUGCGAAGGGGGGACGGAGAAGGCUAUGUUGGCCGGGCGACGGUUGUCCCGGUUUAAGCGUGUAGGCUGGUUUUCCAGGCAAAUCCGGAAAAUCAAGGCUGAGGCGUGAUGACGAGGCACUACGGUGCUGAAGCAACAAAUGCCCUGCUUCCAGGAAAAGCCUCUAAGCAUCAGGUAACAUCAAAUCGUACCCCAAACCGACACAGGUGGUCAGGUAGAGAAUACCAAGGCGCUUGAGAGAACUCGGGUGAAGGAACUAGGCAAAAUGGUGCCGUAACUUCGGGAGAAGGCACGCUGAUAUGUAGGUGAAGCGACUUGCUCGUGGAGCUGAAAUCAGUCGAAGAUACCAGCUGGCUGCAACUGUUUAUUAAAAACACAGCACUGUGCAAACACGAAAGUGGACGUAUACGGUGUGACGCCUGCCCGGUGCCGGAAGGUUAAUUGAUGGGGUCAGCGCAAGCGAAGCUCUUGAUCGAAGCCCCGGUAAACGGCGGCCGUAACUAUAACGGUCCUAAGGUAGCGAAAUUCCUUGUCGGGUAAGUUCCGACCUGCACGAAUGGCGUAAUGAUGGCCAGGCUGUCUCCACCCGAGACUCAGUGAAAUUGAACUCGCUGUGAAGAUGCAGUGUACCCGCGGCAAGACGGAAAGACCCCGUGAACCUUUACUAUAGCUUGACACUGAACAUUGAGCCUUGAUGUGUAGGAUAGGUGGGAGGCUUUGAAGUGUGGACGCCAGUCUGCAUGGAGCCGACCUUGAAAUACCACCCUUUAAUGUUUGAUGUUCUAACGUUGACCCGUAAUCCGGGUUGCGGACAGUGUCUGGUGGGUAGUUUGACUGGGGCGGUCUCCUCCUAAAGAGUAACGGAGGAGCACGAAGGUUGGCUAAUCCUGGUCGGACAUCAGGAGGUUAGUGCAAUGGCAUAAGCCAGCUUGACUGCGAGCGUGACGGCGCGAGCAGGUGCGAAAGCAGGUCAUAGUGAUCCGGUGGUUCUGAAUGGAAGGGCCAUCGCUCAACGGAUAAAAGGUACUCCGGGGAUAACAGGCUGAUACCGCCCAAGAGUUCAUAUCGACGGCGGUGUUUGGCACCUCGAUGUCGGCUCAUCACAUCCUGGGGCUGAAGUAGGUCCCAAGGGUAUGGCUGUUCGCCAUUUAAAGUGGUACGCGAGCUGGGUUUAGAACGUCGUGAGACAGUUCGGUCCCUAUCUGCCGUGGGCGCUGGAGAACUGAGGGGGGCUGCUCCUAGUACGAGAGGACCGGAGUGGACGCAUCACUGGUGUUCGGGUUGUCAUGCCAAUGGCACUGCCCGGUAGCUAAAUGCGGAAGAGAUAAGUGCUGAAAGCAUCUAAGCACGAAACUUGCCCCGAGAUGAGUUCUCCCUGACCCUUUAAGGGUCCUGAAGGAACGUUGAAGACGACGACGUUGAUAGGCCGGGUGUGUAAGCGCAGCGAUGCGUUGAGCUAACCGGUACUAAUGAACCGUGAGGCUUAACCUUACAACGCCGAAGCUGUU